AUUGAACGCUGGCGGCAGGCCUAACACAUGCAAGUCGGGCGGAUGAAGGGAGCUUGCUCCUGGAUUCAGCGGCGGACGGGUGAGUAAUGCCUAGGAAUCUGCCUGGUAGUGGGGGAUAACGUCCGGAAACGGGCGCUAAUACCGCAUACGUCCUGAGGGAGAAAGUGGGGGAUCUUCGGACCUCACGCUAUCAGAUGAGCCUAGGUCGGAUUAGCUAGUUGGUGGGGUAAAGGCCUACCAAGGCGACGAUCCGUAACUGGUCUGAGAGGAUGAUCAGUCACACUGGAACUGAGACACGGUCCAGACUCCUACGGGAGGCAGCAGUGGGGAAUAUUGGACGAUGGGGGAGAGCCUGAUCCAGCCAUGCCGCGUGUGUGAAGAAGGUCUUCGGAUUGUAAAGCACUUUAAGUUGGGGGGAAGGGCAGUAAGUUAAUACCUUGCUGUUUUGACGUUACCAACAGAAUAAGCACCGGCUAACUUCGUG
rnacentral:rRNA from 1 species